GGCACCUGGAUUCCAGAGGGAUAAGCUGGCCUCUGCCUAUGGCUCGGCUCCUAAAUGGGUUAUAACGGGGCUCCGGAGGGGAGGGGCCGGGAGUCUGGGUCUGAGCUGCCUCGCUCUGGUCCCGUUUCCCAGCCACAAACUGCACCCUGGCCCGGGCCCUACAUGCUGGGAGACUGCGAGACAGGUCAGUGCCCCUUACAUCCCCACCGUGGGCAACCCUUUCUCUGACUGCGCCCCAGAGGGAGCACGGGCCCCCACCUUUUUAAUAAUUCAGUCAGUCUCCAAACUACCUUUAGCCCUUUACAAAACCUUUUGCCCUCCAUUAUCUUCCCAAUAAUAAUAACAACAACAUUAACGCUAUUUCGGGGUAUGUGCCAGGCCCCAGGCUGGGCCACUUACAUCCUACAUCUCUCUGGGCCCUCACAGCAGCUCCUGGGGAUGGAUGCCAACAUCACCCCCAUUUGACAGAUGAGGAGGCCGAAGUUCCUGGAACCCCUCCCCAGCAGCCCCCAGCACCAGCUGUGAAGGCAGCGGCCGGGGUCUGGCCAGGCGGGUGUGUUCCGACAGACAGGGCCGCCCAGGACUGGGGCUCCCACUCCAGCAGUGGGAGAAAAGCCGUGGGAGAAGAGGAAGGUGAGGCCCUUGGGGCUCUGGGCAGCUCCCAGCGCCCCCACUCCUUGGCUCCUUUCCGUGGGUCCUUGCCCUCUGCCCAUGCCACCCGCUGGUUUGACCCCACCCUGGCCCUCAUUUCCUCUCUGGUUCCCACCAUCAGAAGCAUCUGCCGUGGGCCUGGCUGUUCGGUUUCUCCCGAGCAGACCCAGCAAGCGAUGCCUCUCUGAGGUUGUGUGCUCACUUUGCAAAACAGCAGAAAUUUAUAGCCCAAGUAAUUGAUCACGGUGCCUCCGCCUCCCUCCAUCUCUCUCUGUCUCCUAAUUCCCUUCUCCCUGCUCUCUUCUCUCUUUUUUCUCAGCGCGCCAUCUGUGGUGUCAGAGAAAAGGAAGCCAAGAAGUGGGGGGGGGGGGGGGGGGGGGGUUUAGUCCCAGUUCUGCCAAGUACGAGUCACAUGAACCUCAGUUUUCCCCUCCGCAAAGCGGAGACGUUAAUACCUGCUCACAGGUGCGCUGGGCUGGGCCCUGUGGGUGCUGGGGCUGUGAGGAGCCCCGUACAGUGUGACUUUACUCCCUAGGGCAAUCUGUGAGCUGGGGUGGCUCUCGGGCCUACCUUCCAGAUGGAGGCACUGGGCCCAGAGAGCUCAGGGCGUUCGCUCGGGCUCACAGAGGUGGUAAACAGCAGCCCUGGGCUUGAACCCUCGAUGGUGGUGCUGCAAAGCCCAAACCAUUAUGCUACACUGCCUCCCUUCCCGCCAGGGUCAAUCAGGACGGAGGUGACGGGCCAGGCCUCCCGAUCCCUAUGUCACUUCCUCCUGGGGCUCACCAUGGGGAAGAAAUGGAGGCUCUCGGGGCAAGGGGGAGUGCUUUGCCAACUGUAGAGUGCCGUGAUGAUGGGAGAAAACUUCACAGUCGUUUCCCUCCCUCGGCUAUCUGGGAGACUCUGGGCCCUAAGCACUUGCCUGGCCCUCAGAUUUCUCCUCUCCUUCCAGAGAGCCUGCGUGAACAGGGGCCUCCUACCAGCUGGGCCCCCACACCUGCUGGCCUCCUGGUACCUCCAGGGAGGUCCAUAGAACCUUCCAGAAUGACCCACAAAAGGACUCUGAAGAGUAUUUCACUCAUCCUUCAUGCCCUGCAUACCUGGCUGGAAAGCCCCCUCCGGACUCCCAGUCGAGUGCUCGCCCAGAACAGAAUUUUUGUUUCAUUCGGGGGGAGAAUUUUUCUAGGGGCCAGAGCUUGUCUUUUUCCUUCCACUCCCUUCUCUUUCCUCUUUUCAGUCUAGGUUUCUCACUGCUCCGGUAUGUCUCUCUCUCCAGCUGUCUCUCUGUCUCUGUCUCUGUCUCCCACCCUCCAGCCGCUGCGAUGACUCGCUUCCCUCCCCUGCGUGGCCGCAAGGCCAAGCCGAGCUCCCAUCGGGCUCCCUUAGCCUCCAAAGGCGCCUGUGCAGGCAGCACCUGCCUCCUGACCUUCCCACCGCAGCCCGGGGGCUGCACCUGGGGGGCAGCCGGGGCUUUGUUCCCCCCUUUCUGGAAGGACAGGACGCUCCAGCCCCUCCGGCUUCCUGCUCCCGCCUGGCUGGCGGAGUUGAGAGCCGGCUGCAGAGCUGGGAGCCAGGCAGCAGCAUACAGAACAAACAGAAUUUUUUUUUGCAACUAGAGGGGGAAGCACAGAGCUAAAAAUAAAACGAAAAGAUCAGUAUCUGUCAGUCUGACAGCUGAUUGGCUGCUCGGAGAUGCAUAUAAUUACCAGCAACUGGCGCUGGGUAGGCAAAGCCGGGAGAAACUGCUGAGACGAGCUCCAGGACACAGCUCGAUGCAGCUUGGAGGUCAUGCUGCCACUCAGAUGAGAAGCUCCGGAUCACAGGGAGCUUCUCCCACCUGAAGGCAAAGGCCCCCAGCCCUGGCUGGCUGCUCAAUCAAGCCUAGAGUUUCAGAGAGGAUGCCAGCUCUCUUCAGGCUGGGCACACCUGCCCCCCACCCCCACCCCAGCACUGCCCCCUGCCCUGCGUGUCCUGGGGACCUGGUCACCUCCAUUCCUUGCCUCCAGGAGCGUGGAGUGAAUAAUGAAGGCCAGACUCAGCGGCUUCUGGAAAGACCACCCUUCCUCCUUCUGGUUCCCUUCAAGGAAGGACCUUCAUGGCCCCCAAGUACCACAAAUCCUAGGCUGAGCCUGGGCACAGAGCGGAUUUCCCUCUCUGGGCACACACCUAUGGGGGGCGGGGGUGGGGAGCAGCAUUCCCCUCCGCUGCAGAAGGAGCUCCAUCUAUGUUGGCAACCCGAUUCGAAUCCCGGUUCCACCACCUUCAAG